CCUACGGGUGGCAGCAGUGAGGAAUAUUGGUCAAUGGGCGCGAGCCUGAACCAGCCAAGUAGCGUGAAGGAUGACUGCCCUACGGGUUGUAAACUUCUUUUAUAAAGGAAUACAGUGAUGCACGUGUGCCUUUUUGUAUUUACUUUAUGAAUAAGGAUCGGCUAACUACGUUCCAGCAGCCGCGGUAAUACGGAGGAUCCGAGCGUUAGCCGGAUUUAUUGGGUUUAAAGGGAGCGUAGAUGGGUUGUUAAGUCAGUUGUGAAAGUUUGCGGCUCAACCGUAAAAUUGCAAUUGAUACUGGCAGCCUUGAGUACAGAUGAGGAAGGCGGAAUUCGUGGUGUAGCGGUGAAAUGCUUAGAUAUCACGAAGAACUCCGAUUGCGAAGGCAGCUUACUAAACUGCCACUGACAUUGAUGCGCGAAAGUGUGGGUAUCAAACAGGAUUAGAUACCCGAGUAGUC
rnacentral:rRNA from 1 species